ACUUGUUGUUUCCUGGGCGGGUUCGCCCGCCACCAGGACCAAACCAUAAACCUUUUUUUUAUGCAGUUGCAAUCAGCGUCAGUAAAAACAAUGUAAUUAUUACAACUUUCAACAACGGAUCUCUUGGUUCUGGCAUCGAUGAAGAACGCAGCGAAAUGCGAUACGUAGUGUGAAUUGCAGAAUUCAGUGAAUCAUCGAAUCUUUGAACGCACAUUGCGCCCUUUGGUAUUCCAAAGGGCAUGCCUGUUCGAGCGUCAUUUGUACCUUCAAGCUUUGCUUGGUGUUGGGCGUUUUUUGUCUCCCUCUUUCUGGGAGACUCGCCUUAAAACGAUUGGCAGCCGGCCUACUGGUUUCGGAGCGCAGCACAUAUUUUGCGCUUUGUAUCAGGAGAAAAGGACGGUAAUCCAUCAAGA
rnacentral:rRNA from 1 species